GUGGAAGCUGUCAGCAGUAGCACCAGCUGAAUCCUGAUUUUCUGGCUAUAAAGACUGAUCUGAGGAAUGAAGAUUAGCCCCUUCUUGAGUCAUAUUGGCCUGGCACUAAAAAUAGGAAUGGAGAGGAGAAACAAACGCUGAUUUUCUGGGUCAACUUUCUUGACUAUGCUCUGGACACUUCGUAUGUGUAUGGGAGCAGAUCUCUUCCUUUUUCUGCCCUAACUGCUGAGGUAAUGGCUGGGAGCUGCAGUGCUCUACCCAAGUCUCAGUUGGUCUUGUAUCCUGCUCCCACCCCCAACAUUCGUCCAUGUUCUGCUUUGCUCCAUCCUGCCAGCUCUUCUCAGGGACCAUAAGUGAGUAAAGGACCCUCCCACAUACCCAGAUGAUUGAUUUUAGUGGGGAAAGGAGAGGUAUAUUUCUUUUUUCUUUUUCUUAUUUUUAAAGAUUUUACUUAUUUAUUUGAGAGACAGAGAAAGAGAGUGAAUGAGGAGGAGAGGGAGAGAGAAUCUGAAGCAGACUACACACUGAGCACAGAGCCCAAUCUGGGGGCUUGAUCCCACAACCCCAAGAUCAUGACCUGAGCCAAAACCAAGAGUUGGAUGCCUAAUGGACUGAGCCACCCAGGUGCCCCAAGGAGGUAAAUUUCUCAAAAGGUACUUUUCUCUUCUAUGGUUGGCAGUCCUUUUCACUGAGUGCCCUUUUCCCACCUCUCUCCCACUCCUCCCCAACAAGACAGACUCUCCACUGUAUUCAAAACUGCCGUACUCCCUGUAUCUGUCAUCUAAGAAUUAACUUGUGUACUUCCAAUUUCUUUCCUGCAGAUGUCUUCUGGUCUCUCCUGCAAGUUGGCCAGUGGAACACCAUCCUGCUGGGUUCCCUAGAAAUCACUGUCAGACUCUGAGUAUCAAGUACCAAGCGCAGAGAUGGAGGGUCAGAAAACAUUAUAUAGCAAUCUUGAAGCAGCUUCAUAAAACGAGCAGAAAAAAAUGAAGAAACAAUAGCAUUACAACAACAGCCAAAUGUGCUUGGAAUCAGUCAGCAAUGGAGAAUUUUCUGGAGGAUAUGCUUAAAGAAGGGGGCGCCUGGGUGGCUCAGUGGUUAAGCGUCUGCCUUCGGCUCAGGGCGUGAUCCCAGA
rnacentral:lncRNA from 1 species